rnacentral:rRNA from 1 species
GACGAACGCUGGCGGCGUGCCUAAUACAUGCAAGUAGAACGCACAGUUUAUACCGUAGCUUGCUACACAAUAGACUGUGAGUUGCGAACGGGUGAGUAACGCGUAGGUAACCUGCCUGGUAGCGGGGGAUAACUAUUGGAAACGAUAGCUAAUACUGCAUAAUAUUGAUUAUUGCAUGAUAAUUAAUUGAAAGGUGCAAUUGCACCACUACCAGAUGGACCUGCGUUGUAUUAGCUAGUAGGUGAGGUAACGGCUCACCUAGGCGACGAUACAUAGCCGACCUGAGAGGGUGAUCGGCCACACUGGGACUGAGACACGGCCCAGACUCCUACGGGAGGCAGCAGUAGGGAAUCUUCGGCAAUGGACGAAAGUCUGACCGAGCAACGCCGCGUGAGUGAAGAAGGUUUUCGGAUCGUAAAGCUCUGUUGUAAGAGAAGAACGGGUGUGAGAGUGGAAAGUUCACACUGUGACGGUAUCUUACCAGAAAGGGACGGCUAACUACGUG